rnacentral:rRNA from 1 species
AGAGUUUGAUCCUGGCUCAGGACGAACGCUGGCGGCGUGCUUAACACAUGCAAGUCGAACGGAAAGGCCCGCAUCAUUUUUUGGUGGGGGUGCUCGAGUGGCGAACGGGUGAGUAACACGUGGGUGAUCUGCCCUGCACUUCGGGAUAAGCUUGGGAAACUGGGUCUAAUACCGGAUAGGACCAUGGUUUAGCAUCUCAUGGUGGAAAAAUUAUUGUUUUGGUGUAGGAUGAGCCCGCGGCCUAUCAGCUUGUUGGUGGGGUAAUGGCCUACCAAGGCGUCGACGGGUAGCCGGCCUGAGAGGGUGGACGGCCACAUUGGGACUGAGAUACGGCCCAGACUCCUACGGGAGGCAGCAGUGGGGAAUAUUGCACAAUGGGCGCAAGCCUGAUGCAGCGACGCCGCGUGGGGGAUGACGGCCUUCGGGUUGUAAACUCCUUUCGUUAGGGACGAAGCCGCACUUUUUUUGGGUGUGGUGACGGUACCUUUGUUAAGAAGCACCGGCUAACUACGUGCCAGCAGCCGCGGUAAUACGUAGGGUGCGAGCGUUGUCCGGAAUUACUGGGCGUAAAGAGCUCGUAGGUGGUUUGUUGCGUCGUCUGUGAAAUUCCGGGGCUUAACUUCGGGGUGGCAGGCGAUACGGGCAUAACUAGAGUGCUGUAGGGGAGACUGGAAUUCCUGGUGUAGCGGUGGAAUGCGCAGAUAUCAGGAGGAACACCGAUGGCGAAGGCAGGUCUCUGGGCAGUAACUGACGCUGAGGAGCGAAAGCAUGGGGAGCGAACAGGAUUAGAUACCCUGGUAGUCCAUGCUGUAAACGGUGGGCGUUAGGUGUGGGGACUGUUUUUGGUUUCUGUGCCGUAGCUAACGCAUUAAGCGCCCCGCCUGGGGAGUACGGCCGCAAGGCUAAAACUCAAAGGAAUUGACGGGGGCCCGCACAAGCGGCGGAGCAUGCGGAUUAAUUCGAUGCAACGCGAAGAACCUUACCAAGGCUUGACAUGCAUUAGAUCGCGUCAGAGAUGGCGUUUCCCUUCGGGGCUGGUGUACAGGUGGUGCAUGGUUGUCGUCAGCUCGUGUCGUGAGAUGUUGGGUUAAGUCCC